AAUGAGUUGACAUCAUUGUAAACAGACACACGCCAUUUUGGGAGAUUGGAAGUGGACAUAGAGACGUGCGGAAAGGGUUGCCCAAGUCCAAAGUACCAUGACAACCAAGCUGUAUGUUGGUAAUCUGCCAGAGACGUGUCGCAGAGUUGAUCUUCAAAAGAUUUUUGAGAAGUAUGGGCAGGUUGUGGAAUGUGACAUUGUGAAGAACUAUGGCUUUGUGCAUUACUGUGAUGUGCAAGAGGCAAAGAGAGCCGCUGAGGAAUUGGAUGGAGUUGAUUUGAGGGAGUCAAACUCAGUGUGGAGCUAUCUCGCAGUAAGGUGAGGCAGAAGCCCGGAAUGGGUGGUAAAGGAGAAUGUUAUCGUUGUGGAAAGCCAGGACAUUGGUCCAGAGAUUGUCCGAAAGGCCCUUCUCGGCCAAGACGAGAGAGGGAGAUGGAGGAUACGAGGAGACCAGCUCGUCCAGCCCCUUACCCAGAUCCUUACAGGGACCCCUACCGGGAGGCCUACUACAGGGACAGAUAUGCUGCCCUGGACCGCUACAGGCCCUAUGCUGACCCUUAUGAAAGGCGACUGCCCCCUCCCCCACCCAGAGACCUGUACUACAGAGAGCGGGAUCCAUAUGCCAGACCUCCUCCAGAAUACUAUGGCAGAACGAGGCGCUCACCCACCAGGGAUCCGUACUAUGACUCAUACUACGACAGAAGACUGGGCUCCUGAUUUUGGUUACGCAACCAUGCCCUUGGUUAAUCCUGUGCUGCAGUGCCAUGUUGUAUCUCCAUGAUCAGUAUGCUGGUUAUCUUCCAACAUAAAGGAUUGCUUUGGUGGCAUUUAAUCUGGAUUUUGUUCCCACAUUGAUCUCUACACAAGUCCAUUGGUGGUAAGACAACCUGGUCAGGUGGAAGGAAUGCUCUCAGAUUCAGUACAUUCGGACGUUCAACUAAGUCUUGUACAGUCAAUAGGCGGAGUGUAUUGUUAUAGUAAUGUUGUCUGUCCAUCCAUAUUCGUGUCAGGGCUAUAACUCCAAUAGUUUUCCACAGAGUUAAUUUGUGAUGGAUACAUAGACGAAGAUGUCGCGAAUCACAUUUGUUCAUUUUCACUGUUGUCAUGGUAACCAGAUAGCCAUUUUCCUGCUAUAUACUAUAUAAAUUGAUAUGAUUUUAGUGUCCGCGCUGCAACUCCAACUGUUUUUCUCUUAGUGUUUUAAUUUUUGGUGGAUACUUGGAUACACAGGACGAUGUGUCACGACUUACAUUUGUCCAUUUUCACGUUUGUCAUGGUAACCAGGUAGCUGUUUUCAUUAUAUAUACUAUAUAAAUAAUUUUGUGUCCGGGCUACAACUCCAGCUGUGUUUCGCACAAGGUUUUCGUUUGUGGUGGAUGCAUUUGUUCACAUGCGCAGUUGUCAAAAUAACCACUUACCUAUCAACACCCAUGGAAAUUCCCCUCAGUUAUGCACACUACAAUGCUGCUGGUAUUCUUUCAUACAUUUCAAACAAAUGCAUUUGUUGGGGCUUAUGUUGUGUUCACCUGAACUUUUGUUUUGUAAUGCAUUAUAGAAAAUACAAUAACUAGAGGUGAUAUUUGGUUAUUC